rnacentral:lncRNA from 1 species
ACCGAACUUUUUGUGCCCACUGAAGUUGCUGAUUCCUUCCUUAGCCCAUCGUUGGACUAGCUGCCCAUGUGUCACACCCGCGUUUUAGGGACCCAGACGCGAAGGCAAUCACCAGGUGUGCUGAGACCAAGUCUCACACAUAUGAUGAAUCAUGGUACAGAAACGAAUGUCACAUAUUUACUAUAUAAAAGGAGUUCUGUACAAAAUAAAUAAAUAUUUAUAUUACAUGAAGACAACGAUCCAGUAACCCAAAGCUGACUGGGAGACGACGACCUAGACCUCUCACGAACUCAUCACGUCAUCCUCCCUGCGCCUCAUCCUGUGGUACCUGUUCUUGACCUGUGUGGGGGUGUGAGACAGCAAGGGUGAGCUCACACACGUUCAUCGAUCAACAUGUUGUGGGGAAUAAUGUGCAUGAACUCGCCAAAGGUGGGAGCCCAUGUGAAGUGUAAGGCUUACCAAAGAGGAUGGUUAAAGCUGAGCAUUGCUUUUAAAGUUGGUCAAAAUUUUAUUAGCAGUUACUAAGUAUAAGUAGAUACCAAACCAGAGUAAUAAUAGAUCAAAAUUGAUAACAACACCCGCGAUGCAAUGCAUAUGACAAAUUGAAUUUAGUUCUAUAAAUUAAUCAUGCGAGAGUCCUGAGCUGCUCAUGACCGCGAGCACGGCUAGUAUACCAGUUUUACACUCUGCAGAGGUUGUACCUUGUACCCACAAGUCGUGUAUCCCAUGUUGCCAGGGUUAGCUAGACCCUUAGACACUACCGAGGUGAAUGGCUAGGGAUCCACUACGAGGCCUUUACAAAGUUCCACUAGCUUCAGAAAACCCGCUAUAGUUUUUAUGAAGAGCAAUGCAGGAAUCCCCCGUCUGACCGCCAUCGCAGCAAAAUCAACCCGGGAACCCCCCUACACGCCUACUCUCCUACUGCCUUUGCCCCUAUCGGGUAAGGUAGUCCUCCACUAGCUUUCAUAGUUAGUUAGCCAAGGGCGUCCCAUUCCACCCUUGUGGUGGCACAUGUUUCUCAAGUUAAGCUCCAUGUCCCAAUUAAAAAUAAUGAUCUUGACAUGAAUAAUAAAUAAAGUAACAGUAUAAUUGGAACAUGAACAUAAUGUAAUAUUAAACCCAAAACCAUAUAGAGCAAUAGCAAAACUACCCAAAUAAUUCAGGGGUGAACAAGGUAAAAAGAUAAUCAGACUAGGGUGACCUAUUGGGUCCCAUCAAAAUUAAACCUAUACAUUAAUAAAUGAUUAUAAAGAACAUUAUUGAGUAAUAAAAGUGGUCAAGGACACAACUCGUCUAGGACUUGAGAUUCCAGGUACCAACUUGCUCUUUAGGUGACUCGUGUCCUCACUGCUAAACGUAGCAAUAUAAACAUAGUAUAGGAAAAAUUAACACCACACCAAACAUAAGAACAAACUGCGUAAUAAUGAUAUACGCGUCACUACGAGAUUGUGGGUUCGUGAACCACUAAGUUCGGAGUUACGGUUAAGGAGUUGUGAUUUAUGGUAGAUCUAUGUGGUUUAAAUAUUAAAUUAUAUUAUAAAUUGGUUAGUGUAUAUCAUAUGAGAGACUAUUUUAUAAAUAAUUAACUCAACUUUAAUCUAAGUCAUUACUUGAUUAAAGACCAUCUUUUAGUCAAAUUAUAACCAUAAGACCAGAAUGUUAUAUUAACAAAGCUAAUUCCAAUAAACAUAGAUUAAUCUAUUUAGUCACUUAAUUAUAAAAGUAUGUGAUAUCGUAUAAUUAAUGUUGUUACUGCAUAGUAAAUAUUUAUACGAAGCUAACGCAACUGGAACGGAUCAAUUCGGAAUUAAAACGGAGGAGUUAUGAAUUUCCGAAGUUUUAAGUGUUGGAUAAAAAGAAAUUAAGUGCAUAAUUUAUUUAAUCUAAGUUUCAUACCAAACUAAGGUUACCAGAUGAUAAACCAUAUUAAUGUGAGACUAAUGCAUCUGGAAUGGAUCAAAAAUGAGUUAAAAUGAAUUAAACAAGUUUCUGAAAUUAUUUCUAUACUAAAAAUUAUUUUCUAUAUUAAUUUAUCUCAUUUUAUUUACUAUAUGGGCUGUGGGCACUGUUCUGGAGUUCCCCAGGGUUAAAACCGCAAAAUUCAGGGCCUAAGUUAAAUUACUUUUACACAGUAGUGGACCGCGGGUUGAAUACUUCAACGGACAGGGGUUCUUCUGUCAGAUGGCGCAACCGAAGAGGUAUAAAGCAUCCAGGGUCGUUGGAUCACCAGCCGAGGGCUCAGAUUAGAUCUGCCCAUAAUGUGAAUCGGUACCCAAAGCGAGUCAUCGAAUCAGACUUCAACGGACCGGAUUUAAAGUUACCCACAUCGAGCACAAGCGCUAGAUCUAGAUCGGACGAACCAGAUUGGUUCAAUCGAACCGGUACGGGUGGACUAAUCCUAGCCUCCCACUCCGAGAUCUACGACCCAGGACUCAUCGGCGAAGGGGAUACACUAGAUUACAUCUAGACCACCGAUCCAGAAAUCGAUGACAUAGUUUCACUCGACGCAUCGAUAUGGAUGGAUUCAAUCUUAACCGUUGACUCAUGGAUCUAGGGCCCUGGCUUGUUCUUCCUCGCCGCAAUGCUAGUAGCGGCGGCGAGCACACCCACGCUCAGCCCGCCAGCGAUCAAGGGCCCCAGUCCGACUGUCGCUGCGCGAGAUAGGGGUGGAGAUAAAAUCGAACAGGAUAGGGGGUGGUUACCGCAAGCAGGAGCGAAAGCGAGACCACCGACGGCGCAGUCUAGCUCCGGAUUCCAACAAUGGCGGCUCCCAGUUCUCCAUUCGAUGCGCACUACCCUGCCCCCAGGCGGCAAUGGCCCCCAGGCGCGCGAGAGAUGGAUGAGGAAGGGGCGCUCGGCUUGUAUAAAUACCCCGAGAUGGAGCCCAGCCAAGGAGAGAUCGGUCGGAAGGAUGCUUUAUUCACAGGUUCAGUUCGCAACUAACCCCGUGC